rnacentral:rRNA from 1 species
UACGAAGGGGGCUAGCGUUGUUCGGAAUUACUGGGCGUAAAGCGCGCGCAGGCGGUCUUCCAAGUCAGUGGUGAAAGCCCGGAGCUCAACUCCGGAAUUGCCAUUGAAACUGUGAGACUGGAGUACGAGAGAGGUGAGUGGAAUUCCCAGUGUAGAGGUGAAAUUCGUAGAUAUUGGGAAGAACACCGGUGGCGAAGGCGGCUCACUGGCUCGUAACUGACGCUCAGGUGCGAAAGCCAGGGGAGCGAACGGG